GACGAACCGUGCGAACGUUAUUCGGAAUCACUGGGCUUAAAGCGCGUGUAGGCGGGACGGCACGUCGGUCGCUGAAAGCCUCCGGCUCAACCGGGGAACGGGCGCCGAUACGACCGCCCUGGAGGAACGUAGGGGGACCUGGAACUUCCGGUGGAGCGGUGAAAUGCGUUGAGAUCGGAAGGAACGCCCGUGGCGAAAGCGAGGUCCUGGACGUUUUCUGACGCUGAGACGCGAAAGCCAGGGGAGCGAACGGG
rnacentral:rRNA from 1 species